rnacentral:rRNA from 1 species
GGCGAACGCUGGCGGCGUGCUUAACACAUGCAAGUCGAACGGUAAGGCCCUUCGGGGUACACGAGUGGCGAACGGGUGAGUAACACGUGGGUGAUCUGCCCUGCACUUCGGGAUAAGCCUGGGAAACUGGGUCUAAUACCGGAUAGGACUCCGGACUGCAUGGUCUGGGGUGGAAAGCUUUUGCGGUGUGGGAUGGGCCCGCGGCCUAUCAGCUUGUUGGUGGGGUGAUGGCCUACCAAGGCGACGACGGGUAGCCGGCCUGAGAGGGUGACCGGCCACACUGGGACUGAGAUACGGCCCAGACUCCUACGGGAGGUAGCAGUGGGGAAUAUUGCACAAUGGGCGCAAGCCUGAUGCAGCGACGCCGCGUGAGGGAUGACGGCCUUCGGGUUGUAAACCUCUUUCAGCAUCGACGAAGCGAAAGUGACGGUAGGUGCAGAAGAAGGACCGGCCAACUACGUGCCAGCCGCCGCGGUAA